rnacentral:rRNA from 1 species
CAAAGGCUUGGUCCUGACUUUACUAUCAACUUUAGACGAAAUUACACAUGCAAGUAUCCGCACUCCUGUGAGAAUGCCCCACAGUUCCCUGUCCGGGAACAAGGAGCAGGUAUCAGGCACACUCAUCAAGCCCAUAACACCUUGUUCAGCCACACCCUCAAGGGAACUCAGCAGUGAUAAACAUUAAGCCAUAAGUGAAAACUUGACUUAGUUAAAGCUAAAAGGGCCGGUAAAACUCGUGCCAGCCACCGCGGUUAUACGAGAGGCCCAAGUUGAAAGACACCGGCGUAAAGCGUGGUUAAGCUAAAAUUUAAAUUAAAGUUAAACAUCUUCAAGACUGUUAUACGUAUCCGAAGACAGGAACCUCAAUUACGAAAGUAACUUUAUAUAAGCUGAAUCCACGAAAGCUACAGCACAAACUGGGAUUAGAUACCCCACUAUG